rnacentral:rRNA from 1 species
UACGAAGGGGGCUAGCGUUGUUCGGAAUCACUGGGCGUAAAGCGCACGUAGGCGGAUGUGCCAGUCAGGGGUGAAAUCCCGGAGCUCAACUCCGGAACUGCCUCUGAUACAGCACGUCUUGAGUUCGAGAGAGGUGGGUGGAAUUCCUAGUGUAGAGGUGAAAUUCGUAGAUAUUCGCAAGAACACCAGUGGCGAAGGCGGCUCACUGGCCCGAUACUGACGCUGAGGCACGAAAGCGUGGGGAGCAAACAGG